AAUAAGGUAUACACUGCCUCCCGCGCCCCCUCCUCAGCCGGUGGCGGGGAGGUGGGCGCUGAGAAUCGAUCUAAAUUUUCUACGAGGCGCCAUUUUGUGCUGGGUAUGACCUGUGACCUGCGUCCUGGAUUGCAGAAGUUCAAAGACCAGUCAGCACGGCCUCGAAGGCGUGGACCCCUGGCCUUCAAAUGUGUGACCUCUGACCCCGGCCAGGCCUCAGUCACGACGCCGGGCCUCAGUUUCCUCCUGUGGGAAGUGGGGGCUGGGAUCCCUCGUGAUGACCGAGAAGGAAGAAGGAACAGUCCCCAGGCCUUCGUCAGGGCACGGCCCUGCCUGUGAUUGACCCGCGGCCUCCGGCUGGCCAGGCCCUCACUGGCACUCACUUUCCCUGUCUGGGAAGUGGACACACAGUGGUCUCAGGCUUCAGUUAGUAAACUGGGCCCGGCUUUUCCCCUAAACGAGCCGGAGCUCCCUGGGCCGGCCCUGACUAGAUGCCAAGAGAGGAGGCGGACCGGAAGCGGAAGUGGCCUCAUGGGGUCCUCUGGGCCCCUCUCAGCUCAGCCAAGUCCGGUCCAGCUUGGCCACAGUGUCCUGAAAAGACCGGUGGCUACCAGCGUCCCCUCCUGGGGCCUCAGCUGCUGGAACAGGAGGCGGGAAGGUGUAAAAGGUGCCCACAGCCUUGCAGUCUAGUAAUAACGAGAGUUUGUGGAGCAUUGGCGGUGCGGGCAGCUCUCACACCAGAUCAUGAACCUUAGCCCGCUGGGGGCAGAUGAUUCCAGCCCAUUUAAGGGACAAGAACACUGAAGGAAGAGGCGGGUCUGGUGGCUUGCCCAGGGUCCCCCCACCGGGACAAGGCAGACGUGGUAGUCAAGCUCUAUCUCCAAACCCACCCGACAGACAUAAAGAUGAUGAUAAUGAUGGUUAUUAUUUAUUAGGUGCCUGCUGUGUGCCAGGCACUGUUCUAGUUCCUUUGCGUGCUUGAUCUCGCUUAGUCCUUGCAACAGCCCUGUCAGGUGGAUGUUGUUAGGAUUCCCCUCUGGACACCUGUGUUCAUUCAAUGACAUUUUUGGGUUUUGAGCACCUACCAUGUGGCAGGAGGAUGCUGUGGGGAUACGGCAAAGAGUAAAAGGGACAAAACUGCUCUCAUGGAGCUUACAUCCUUUGAGGGAGCCAGACAGUCAGGAAGGGGAGCCGCUGAAGGCUUUGAACAGGACGUGACUCCAUCUGACUUAGGGCAGGAACAGAGUGGCCCGUGAGGAGGUGACUGCAGCCAUCCGGGUGGGGAUGAUGGCGGCUCCGAGCAGAUCAGCCCCAGGAGAGCGGGGACUCUGUCCUCGGCCCCAGCAGGGUGCCUGACAGAUCGAGGAUGUUCAUUCAUUCAGUAUCCCCCACGGACACGUACUCGUCACAUCCCCACACAUCCUGCCUCGGCAGUGCGCGUGGUCAGCUGCUGUGCCGCGUUCCUUCAUAGGAACGCCCCAGAGUUUCCAGCAUUCUCCGACUGAAGGGCCUUGACGCCAGGUCCAGCCUGUGUCUAGAAGCUGCAGUGAGCAUCCUCGAGCGUUUAUGUUUGGGCACAGCUGUGAGCUAUUCUGUUUUUUUUUCUUGUGAGGAGGACCAGCCCU